GUCAGUAGCUCAGAGAUAGACCAUCUGCUUUUCAUGCAGAAGGUCCCAAGUUGAAUCUUUGGGUGGGGCU